GAGCAGAAUCCACUGACAGAAACCACCUCCUGGUUAACUGGGAAAGUUUCAACUCUUUUUUUUUUUUUUUUUUUUUUGUUAUGCUUUAGAACAGAGCCUGUGCUGGACUGAAAGCAACUGCUAAAGAAAAACCAACCAUCACUGUCACCACCAUCAUCUGCAGAGCCAUCCAAACGGUGAGCAGCGAGUUUAAGGUUGUGGAUUUCUUUUUCUACCUCCCUUCCGGAGCCAAGGUCUGGUGAAAGUACUAGAAUCAAGUGCUACAAAAGAAAAGGCUUAGAGUCGUUGUCACUAAAAAUCACUAGUUCUGUUCUCCCUCGGGGUGAUACGCAAGAGAGAGCGAUGCCAUACAAUUUAGAAAAGGCAGCUCUGACAAUUCUUAACAUCUGAGAAAGCCUUCUCGGAACAGCGCUGCUGGGGCUGUGUUUGCAGUAUGAUACCACAACGCGUUAGCACAGUCAGAAGAUGCUCUAUCUGAAAGCAUUUCUACGGCAGCUAUCAGCU